rnacentral:hammerhead_ribozyme from 1 species
GCACUUCUGAUGUGUCCCAUAAUAGGACGAAACGACCGUCUAGUAC